AUUCAAACCUCACGUGACAAAGGUGGGUUGAGCGCACAGAUCACAACAUAAACUCCAAAAAUGGCAUUAAAAUUGGAACCAUCUGUGCGUAAAUGACGCAUCGCGCUCCGUGGCCUGGCUCUUCUUUCAUAGAUGUUGGCAUAUAAAAUAAAUUUGGCCCACAAAACUGAAUAUUAUAAUAUCCGUAUGUAGAUAACUCAUCUGAGCACUGAAACAAAUCAUCUGUUCAGCCGCAGCAGCAGCAAGACGGACAGAGGACACGGAGACGUGUCCAGGUCGAGCUGUGCGAGAAAUAAGAGGAAG